UACGUAGGUGGCAAGCGUUGUCCGGAAUCACUGGGUUUAAAGGGUGCGUAGGCGGACUUGUAAGUCAGGGGUGAAAUCCUACAGCUUAACUGUAGAAUUGCCUUUGAUACUGCGAGUCUUGAAUUAGGUUGAGGUCAGCGGAAUGUGGCAUGUAGCGGUGAAAUGCAUAGAUAUGCCAUAGAACACCGAUUGCGAAGGCAGCUGGCUGGGCCUUAAUUGACGCUGAGGCACGAAAGCGUGGGGAGCGAACAGG
rnacentral:misc_RNA from 1 species